ACGAGAGAAGCGCAUGCGUGAGGCCCACCCGCAGCGCUGCCAUUGAGGAGCAUUGACUCAGUGAGUGGAAGAGGUUUGUUUGAAACAGGCCGCAAUGGAGAGACCAGCGCCCAGGGAAGCGAGGGAACAGCAGGCUCCUUCCAGCAGCGCAUCGAGAUGCAAAUUCUCAAAGAAACAACAUUUCCUUGUUAGAAAGCCAAGUGUGAGCAGUUGCUUCUAACUAACACCAGGCAUGUUCCUGCAAUCAGAAUGGAGAACAUCUUUUCCACAGUCAGAGUGGAUUGGAUCAGACUUGUAUUGAGCUCAAUUUCCAGAGACUUGUCUGAGGAAAGGCAAGUUUUUUUUGUUUUUCAUUGUCAAUUGGAACUAGCAUGAUGUGAAUUAAUAUCAUUUGUAGCCCAUGAACAUUUAAAUCAUGUUUGAAAGGUUAA